rnacentral:rRNA from 1 species
CUCCUACGGGAGGCAGCAGUGGGGAAUAUUGCACAAUGGGCGAAAGCCUGGUGCAGCCAUGCCGCGUGUAUGAAGAAGGCCUUCGGGUUGUAAAGUACUUCCAGUUGUGAGGAAGGUUUCGUAGUUAAUAGCUGCGUUGCUUGACGUUAGCAACAGAAGAAGCACCGGCUAACUACGUGCCAGCAGCCGCGGUAAU